rnacentral:piRNA from 1 species
UGGGUGAAUUGUUUUCCUACUUAGGGAUGG